UGUGCUUCCACUCCGUGUAUGGCUAAUGAAGAUUGUAUUGAUGCAGUGAACAUGUAUACUUGUGCGUGCUCUGCUGGUUAUGCUGGGACUCCGUGUGCAGAUAUCGACGAAUGUGCUUCCACUCCGUGUAUGGCUAAUGAAGAUUGUAUUGAUGCAGUGAACAUGUAUACUUGUACGUGCUCUGCUGGUUAUGCUGGGACUCCGUGUGCAGAUAUCGACGAAUGUGCUUCCACUCCGUGUAUGGCUAAUGAAGAUUGUAUUGAUGCAGUGAACAUGUAUACUUGUGCGUGCUCUGCUGGUUAUACUGGGACUCCGU